AUGAGACUGUGGGGUCUUCUCCUCUGCCUUGGGACAGCUGCCCCAGGUGUCCUGUCCCAGGUGCAGCUGCAGGAAUCAGGCCCAGGACUGGUGACCCCCUCCAAGACACUCUCUCUCACCUGCUCUGUCUCUGGAUUUUCCAUCACAACCAGUGGUUACUGCGGGAGCUGGAUCCGCCAGCCAACAGAGAAGGGCCUACAGUGGUUGGGGUGCAUAUGUUAUGAAGGAAGCACUUACUACAGCCGAUCUGUGAAGAGCCGCACUUACUACAGCCCAUCUGUGAAGAGCCGCAUCUCCAUCUCCAGAGACACAAACCAGAACCAAUUCUCCCUGCAGCUGAACUCUGUGACCCCUGAGGACACAGCUGUGUAUUAUUGUGCAAGAGACACUGUGAGAGGAAGUCAGUGCAAGGCCAGACACAAACCUGAGGAAGAUAUAGGAGUAUAG